GACGAACGCUGGCGGCGUGCUUAACACAUGCAAGUCGAACGAAGUGGCGAACGGGUGAGUAACGCGUAAUCAACCUGCCCUUCAGAGGGGGACAACAGUUGGAAACGACUGCUAAUACCGCAUACUGAGGGAGGGGAUUGCGUCUGGUUAGCUAGUUGGAGGGGUAACGGCCCACCAAGACGAUGAUCAGUAGCAGGUCUGAGAGGAUGAACGGCCACAUUGGGACUUAGACACGGCCCAGACUCCUACGGGAGGCAGCAGUGGGGAAUCUGACGAAAUGGACGAAAGUCUGACGGAGCAACGCCGCGUGAGUGAUGACGGCCUACGGGUUGUAAAGCUCUGGUAAUCGGGACGCGGUACCGGAAUAGAAAGCCACGGCUAACUACGUGCCAGCAGCCGCGGUAAUUC
rnacentral:rRNA from 1 species